rnacentral:misc_RNA from 1 species
CUGGCACUGCCGUACACUCACCAACAACUACACACACGAUACAGUCCGGGGGGCGAAAAAACGCCGGCUGACUACUCGGGGUGUUAGCAAAGUAUGGAUGCGCAACUUAAAGCGAUCCAAGCCACAACGGCAGCAGCUUUUGUCCGGGCAAAACCUUUUACCACAAGCUACUACAAUUAACAUGGCGGGGAGGGGUGAACAGGUUCACAAACCCCGCACGUCUCAACCUGCGAAGCCAUAAAACUAGCGAUAUAAUGCAGCGGAAAGUAACAAUGGCAGCUAACGAGGCUUUCAAAAUGCCCACAGCAGGUGCAAUUUCUAAGAAACCUUCGUAAGGUAGACACGAAAGUCAAAUAACUAACCAAAGCGGUCGUGGUAUGCUUUUUCCGGAUGUGCUAAGCAGCGCGCCGAAAUCCUUGCGUUCUGCAGCAGCACAUCCACGGAAUUUUCUGCACGAUGGACCAACUAGGA